CUUCGGAGGAGUUAGCGAAAUUCCAAUGUGUGCGGAUCGGCAAAAAAUGCGAAAUAACCCUUUAACCGUACAUUUGACAGAUACGCCCGCACUGACUUUUUUGUAGAUCUUAUUGAGAUACAUGUGUGUGUCAAUUUUUGUGUCAUUUUGACAAAGCGUACAGGCGUGACAGUCAAUAGUGUGAAUUUUCACCUUAGGGGGCGCUAUGGAGCCAUUUUGCAUUUUCUUGUUUGGGCGACUUCGGAAUAUCAAAUUUUUCACCAGGCCCGGUCGUCCUGCCAAAUUUCAUGAGUUUUCGCCAGUGGGAAGUGGGCCAUUUUCCAGUUCAAAGGGGAGGAAAAAUAAUAAUAAUAACACUAGGACCCCGUUGGGGCACUGGCGGGCCCGAGCUGUGUCGCGUCCCCCCCCAACGCGCUGCCUCCCCGUCCCAUUUGUGUCCUCUGGCCAUCGCCCUCUCUGGUAACGCCCAUCACUGCAAAGACCCUUUUCCUUCAUCGGCGUUUGCUGUUCUUCCUGCCAGUGCGUGUUGCUUUCACUUACACUUGCCACAGCCAGCCUCUUGAGUGCCUAGCCUAUUGGAUAUCACUGUCACCUACUCAGGACAGUCAUUACCUUUCUAUUAAUACUUUGUUUUUUAAUUUCACAUUAAUUUCCAUAUUGUAUAAACAACUGGAAAAAACUUGAGCCCCUGCCCCUGUAUAAUCAUGUGCACGUCUCUGUUCUAGCUCUAAGGUGAAUCUUCACUGCUCAUGUUCUCCUCAGAAGCAGUCACCUCACUCCCCUCAGGUUACUGUACACAUGCACCAACUGCCUGCUUCAGGUUUGGAUGGAGCUUCAUGGUUGUCUUUUGGAGAAAUGACCAGUCAAGUUGUGUUUGAAAUUUGAUUUUUUUCAGGGGCAAAAGGAGCCUCUGCAUUCUUGUCAAAUAUGUAAAUAGCAUGUUUUUGCAGGUGCUAAAAACCAGACUCUGAGUGUGUGUGUGUGCGUGUGUGUGUGUGUCUGUGUGUGUGUGUGUGUGUGUGUGUGUGUGUGUGUGUGCGUUCAAGUCACAUGACAUAUUUAACCGGAUGUAGCUGCAAGACGGAGCCUCGUUGACUCCGUUUCAACUUAUCUCAAAAGUGAGGACCUCAACCUAUAUACCAGUUUUUAAAUUGUGUUGAUAGGCCAAAUAAAACCAGAGUUAUGAUAAAUUAUGUCCGCGAUACUUUUUUUCUGCUUAUUUUGAUCACGUUCGGCGCUCGAUCGCGCUGUAUGAGACAGGAAAACAUAGCAUGCAGACAUUAGCGACAGGUCUUACAGGCGGAAAAGGCUUGCCAAAGGAAAAAAAAAACACACCACAACAUCUCUCCUAUUGGUGGAAAACUUCACCACAACAACCAAUCCAAAAUUAUAUGGUGACUGAUUGACAAGGGGCGGGCGCUUACGUUCUUCCUGCAAUAUGAGAAGGGAGGGAGGGACUCCCAGCAGGGAUGCAGUCUGGGACACGUAGUUGCAAACCUAGCGACUUUGUUGUUAGAUUCAAUGACUUUUCAGACCCCCUAACGACUUUUUUUUUAGAAAGAAAGUGACUUUUAUCGACUUCUUCUGGAGUUUAGAGACUCUGACAUGAAGCAGGCUUUCCUUACUGAGGAGUUAGCAACGCUGCUAAGGGUGCAGAGCCACACAUGCGCUCCGAGCUCUGCAUGGGAGACUGAAGCUGACAGAGCUGCAGCAGUUAGCAGGUUUCACCCUCAGAGACCACCAGGGGUUCAUGUUGAGGCAUUUUCAGUUUUUUUUUUUUUUUUGCCAUAGACACUGUCAGCACAAUCUGCAGUUACACUAACAAAAAUGCUGCAAAAAACAAAGAAUUAUGGAAAAAUUACACAUGGACUAACAUAGAGGAGGAUAUACACAAGUUUUUUACAUCAUGUUUUACAUCAUGCAUCAUUUACAUCAUGUUUUUUUGUAGUGGCAUAAAUAAAAAGUGACAUUUGUGAGACUAUACAGUGUUUUGUAAAUAAUUUUACAAAGAACACCUGGGCCAUUGCCUGCAUUUUGAUGUAAAUAGAGGUAAAUUACUAUGU